ACAGUGUAUGUGUACACUUAAUGGUAUUUGACAUUUCUUUUACAGCCAGCGUUAUGUGCAGCAGUUGGGUUUUGUGAGUGUCCUGUACAGCAGAGCAGAAGUCUCCUGAGAAUAGCAUACCUGGCAUUGAUUCAAGAGUAUGACCAUGAAGUGUGUGUGUGUUUGUAUAUACUAUGAAUCUAGGUCAGAUAAGGGACACAGGGAGGAGAAGAUCUGUUGACGUAUCCAGAAAAGUGGAACUUCAGAGAGCACUUUGCCUUGUUGAACUGUUACACUAACUGGUCUCUCAGGACUUUUCUUUUGUUACUCCUGAAGUUUCUGCUUUUCAUAGAAUUAAUUUUUUUUUAGGUCGACUCACUGUUAUUGCAUCGGCGUAAAUCGAAUUCAUUCCCGAGGUCUUAAGGGAUCAGUUAGAUAGAAGGAAAAAUGUUAAUGCGGCUUUCAUUGACGUGAAAUAUUGGAGCUGUGAGUCACAUUUUCCCCCCAAGCUGAUAUUCAGGUCAAAUGUUAAAAUGUUUGCAUAAAUCACUGAAAGGACGCAUAAUUUUUCUUUUAUUUUUGGUGCAUGUCCAUGUAGUUUGCCUGCACGAGUGACUUCCCAUCAGUCAGUUGGAGGAUAUCAGAUAUGUUUUCCUCCAUUCCCUCCGUUUGACCCCUGACCACUUCUCCAUAGAGAGGCAGGAAGCCAGAAACCGCAGUUUCUCCCCUUGUUCAUCCUGCAUCAGUAUCUGUGCCUUGAUGCCAGCACACCUGUGCUGUCUCUCAACAGUCAAAUUAAUAAGCUCCCUCUCUCCUGCAGAAAAAAUCCCUUCAGACCUCCGCAGCACCUCAGCACAGCGGAGGCCCAGCAGGGCAGAAACCGGGCCGAGCUGAUCCGCGACGCAAAGCCAAACUGGGAGUGAUUGACUCUCCAAUCUUAAGAGGGUCAAAUACCGUGGUGGCCUGGCUGACUCCAUUCAAGAUUACUUGCCACUCAAGGAGAGGAAGCAGAGGUGGAGUGGACGCGACUUUCCAGGUGGAUGUUGGAGGUGGCGGCAAACUGCGUCCCGACACCUCAAACCUCUGCACCAAGCUGGCAUGUGACUACCGGUCCAGUCUGUCCACUGAACGCACAGAGACCAAACUGAUCAACGCUCCAUCAAACUACCGGUAAGAAGGAGUCGUGUCUACAAGGUAACCCCCCGAAAACUUGCAAAAAACUCUUGCGAGACUCGCUGCCUGACGACCUAUCCUGACCUUCAUUAUUCAAGGUCAAUGCCUAACAAUAACCAUCUUGCGAGAGUUUCCCGACUUGGGUAUUACCUUCAAGACAUGACCUCAAAUUCUUGAAGUAACGUGGGAUUAGUAACUGUAAUGUUAUUAUUGAAUUUCAAAUUGUAAUCCCUUACCGUCCUCGAAAAACAGCAAUCACAAAGUAAUCCAUUAUUGGCCAAUACUGGUGCAAUUUAGCAAAUAUUAAAAUGCUAUCAGACCAAACUAGGAUGGCGAACAGGGUCACACCUGCUAAACAUCAGCAUGUUAACAUUGUUAGUACCGCUGUGCCUAUACAGCCCCUCACAGCUGCUAGUGUUGACUUGUUCAGGAUGUUGAUUUGUAGAAAUGAUUGAGAAUAUCCAUCGGUGGUACUUGCUUCUCUUAUCCAACCAGGGUAAUAGCAGCACUUCCUCUCCCACCAAUGGCAGUAUAGGUGAGCGUAGGAGGCAUAGUCACGCAAAUUAGCAUAUGGCGUCAUCUGAUGACAUUUUGAACUACCGGCAGCUACAUAAGUUUUCAGCUGGAGAGAGAUAGAGAUGCGUUGGAGUGCGUCACUGUGGCUUAGGGGCAGUAUAGUCUGUUUAUUACUGUGUUAAAGUCAGGAGGCUGAGUCAUCAGUGCAUGCUGUUUCUGCUCUCCUCUAUCUCUCUCUUUCUCUCCCUUCAUCCUUGCUGCUGUUGUUUGGCUCAACACACCUCAUGUCUGUCUAUAAUUUACCAACUCAUCCCGCUCUCCUCUUUUCCCAGUGGGGGAGAGAAAGCCUGCAAGAGGUAAAUGAUUAGAGAGGAUGCGUGUAUGUGAGUGUAUUUAUGGGGAUGCCUGACAGCUAAGAGAUUAGAUUUCCUUUAUAUUAUUUUAUUAAUAAAACAGACCCCAAGUCUCUCUCUCUCUCUCUCUCUCUCUCUCUCUCUCUCUCUCUCUCUCUCUCUCUCUCUCUCUCCUCUUUAAGGAUGAAAACAACAGUCUGUCCGGUCACCUAUCUACACUACAGUUUGUUGAAUAUCUUUCUUAAUGAGUUUUCUCUUCAUUUUGCUCAGACAAAAGCCUCAAAGUUAUUUUUUGGAGGGGCUUUUUUCAAGCUGCAGCAAAGACAACAGAGCAGCUGGUGUUUGUGAGGCUGUUUCGCCUUGUAGUUAGUUGUUGUUAUGCCAUAACAAUGUCAUCAAUCAACCAGGUAAUGUGAAAGAGAAAAUGUUAUUUUGGUAUGGAGUGUCUGAAUCAGGUUUGAGACACAAAUAAAUCUCCAUAUGUAAUGCCAUAAACAGGUGACAAACUUAAACAACAUUUUCUUCAACUACAAUACAAGUGAUGCUUUUAGUGUUUGCCUCAAUUAACCAUACUAAUGGAUAAUAUAAAAUAAAUAAUAAGAAUAACUUGAUUUGCCAUGUACUAAUAGAUACAAUGACACUGUAAAAUUAGAUAUAUGUUAAUGAAAUACAGUUGAUGUGUGGUUCAGGACCUGCUAAUUUUAAUAUACAAUACAACUCAAAUCAAUAAACAUAGUAUUUUUUUUUAAUUAAUUUACGUUUCCAGGACAACAGGGCGAACUCCAUCUGCUGAGGAAGAUCAUGUGAGAUAAUGGAAAACCGCAAAACAGCAACUAAAAGGACCUUGAGUUUGGCUCUGCUUUGCUGCUGGCCCCAGUUCUGACUGGACUGUGUGGGACGUCCCAAGGGUGCAGGUGCUCCUCGCCAACCCGUCUCCAGGCUCACAUCACACACACAUUGCUCUGCUCCCUCCCCUCGGGUUGCCUCUCCCGCCCCACACACACUCUCGGGUUACUGUGUAACUCUAGCUAUGGGCAGGGCCAGCACCAGCACCACGGGGCCCAUGCAGAUCCCUCUGCAAAAAAAGUUGGCUCUCUCACCAAUCAGGACAGCUCAGCCUGGAUUUGCAUGCUUUUUUUGGGUUGCAAAAUAUAUGAAAACGGGAUAUGAAUGAUAAUAUUUGAUGUGCCACACUGCUCAGUGAUUUGCAUUGUUGUUUUUCUUCCCACGGACAUUUUAUUACAAGGAUCUGUUUCUCACAUAGCAGUUCUCAUUUACCGUACUAAAGGAAUUGCAGUAUUUAAUCAUUACUCCUGUAGUUUAUGGGUGUUUCCUCCAGUACUGUAUGCAUUCCUGAAUUAAAUGUCCUGUUACUGGCACUAAUCAGUUAGUUCUUAUAAUCUCUGGCAACUUGCUGAAACACAUUUCUGUGUUUUAUUUUCCUUGGCAAUAAUUCUCCAAAAAUGAAUUUGUUAGCCAACACUGGCCUCAUUGUCUUCUCAAGUUACUUCAUUAACUUCGUUAUUGAUUUCCCUCCAAAGUCAACUAAAUCUGCCGUUAUUUAUAAACAAAUUAAUAAUCAGAGCUGCUUCUUGUGCGGCCCGUUUAUUAAAUAUGUUAUUGAUAUUUUAGACUAAAAGAGGAGAAGUCAUUUAUCAGGCCUGCCAAAGCGGAUUAGUUUUGGGCUGAGAAAAGCAACGCUCGCAACAGUUUCAAUUGGAGGGAAAUUAGAAUUUGCCUGGCUAAAUCCAAGAAAACUAAUGCAGGAUAAUGAUAAGGCUGCUGUCUUUCUGUAGUUUAGAAUCAAUGACAAACUUUUGUGUUUGGAUAUUGACUUAUAAUUAGCUCUCUACUGCCCUCUUUGGAGUAAAAACAAUACUGCCCACGCCUCUCUAAUAAUGAGAGCAUGUAGGUCUAUGCAUUGGAUUGGUAUUUUCUGAUUAGUUCCACAAUAAAUUUUGUUUCCAAGGACAAUAAACAGACAUUAAAACAUUUGUGAUUGAGACAUAGUGACAGGGUGACACACAUUCUAAAGGAUAUACUGUAGACAGCAGACUAACAUUAACAUAUCCCUUCCUGUAUUGGCUUUGCUUUGUUUGUAUGCAUACUAGUAAUACCAGGUAGCCCAUUUGGGCCCAAAGACUGUAUUUAUGAUAAAGAAUAAUGCCACAACAUUUGUUCUGAUUGGUCUUGAAAUUUGGUAGAGAAACAUUUUGGGCAAGUAUAUAACAUCACAUAAAAAAUGGAAUUAAUUUAUAAUCAUUUCAAAGUAGAUUUAUUGCAGUUUUCUGGGAUUAAAAACAGUUCGGAACGUGUAUGAAUUACCAAAAAUUAGGUACCACCUAUAGCGUAGGUGUAGUGUAAUUCAAGUAAUUCAAUACAAACAAUCAAUCAAGUUUAUCUACCUCAGUAGUUCUGGGAACUCAAAGCAGGACGAUCUCUACUGCCACCCAGUGGUUAGUCAUGAACACCCAUCACCUCCAUAUGGAAUGGAUUACAACAUAGUGUUAGUCUGUGAAUGCCUGAAGUGAUUUAGGUCAAAUGAUGAUUGAACUGGUAAUGGUACUGAAAGCUAUGAGAGGAUCAGGAAAGAAUGCAGCCCGUUAAACGGACUGAAGAUUCAUGCAGAAGUGAUUACAUUAAGUAGAGCCGUGAUACAUUCGGGUUGUGUGUUUUUUUACACGUGUGCAUGUGUGCCUGAAGGUGAGUAUGCAUGACUGUUUCUGUUGUGUGCCUUCACACAAAGAAAUCCAAUUUUUAUUCUGAAAAAAUGACAUGUUGUGUAUCACAUGCAAUAAGAAACUAUGUUUUGUUGUGGCUUUUUCGGAUCAAACGCAGGAGAUUCUUUUCUCUCUGUAAACGACAUCACACAUAUUGCAAUGAUUUGUCAGGAUUUGGCCAAAAUCUGCUGCCACAUGUUCGUGUUUGGCCUUUUUUUUCCCUCUCCUCUUCUCUCCUCUCCUCUCCUCUCCUCGACCAAAGUAAAGUCCAGAGAGUACAGGUCAUGCAAACUUGAUCCACUGGCUCCUCCUUGCUUAGCCGUGCACAGAAGUCAGCGCAAAGAUCAAACGAAAGGUCAGGCAGAGGCCCACUGUUGACUUGACACAUUGACCCAAUACCAUUAAGGGCAUUAUGCUACUUGUAAGUUAUCUACUGUUUGAUUUUGAUGACAAAACAUAUUGAUCAUAUUGGCAGGGAAAUCUUUACCAUGACAUGCGAUUAUUCAGUCAAACAAUUACACACAGAAGGGGGGCAAAAAAAGUGAUGUCUCAGUAGCAGAUUAGAUGUACUUGAGUAUGUAUAGCAGUAGAUAAAGCAUGUAUGUUGAAACCCAUACA